CUCUCAGAUGAUCUGAAACCACUUCAGUCUGUCUGAAGCUCUCAUGAACAUUUCCUGUUAAGUAUUGUUUUCAAUAAUUUAUUCUGGAGGAGAUGUUGGCUCCCCUGGGAAUCACUUUGCAGCACAUCCCCUCCAGAGACCAGCUACAGACAUCAGGCGCCAGGAUAGAAGAGUCGCUCUGUGUAGACGGUGGACCAGGAAUAAGGUUGCCUCAAAAAAAUAAUAGCUGACAUCCGCCCCACCCUCCACUCUUCAAUCAAGCCAGUCAGGCAAUGAACCUUUUCACACCUGAGGGAUUAUUUUUGCUUUUGUCUGAUUCUGCUGUGUUAAAGGAAACAAGUGUUGAGAAAGAAAAAGAACCCAAGUAUGAAGCCAAAGAAAGAGCAGUGGUGAAGCCUGAAAAAAGCUCAAAGCGCGGGACAAAGGCAGAGCUGGAGCUGUUCCUGCACCUGUGGGUGUAUGGGGAGCAGGGGAGAGAAGGACUCAAUUAACUGAGCUUCAGGAUAAUCCAAGGUGAAGAAAAACAAGAGCUGACAAAGAAAAGAAAUGGGUGAGUCAAGACAGGCACUGGGGUCUCUUCCCACAGACCUUGGGUGGGUUCAAUGGAACCUUGAGGCCUGGGUUUAACUGGGCCUAACCCCACCCCAGGGAUGUAUGGGGGUUAAAGGGAUUAAUACUAACCUACUGACUGGUUGGAAGGGCCUGGGAGUCUGGGAAAUUAGUGGGAAAAACAAAACAGAAGGUACUUAGAGUCCCAAUCAAGACAGCAACUUUUAAUACUGAUUUCUUAAUGGCAAUUCACAGCCUUGACCUAACCAGUUCCUUAAUCCUGCUCCAGUAUACAAGCAAGUUCUACAGUGUUUGUUCCUUAAUAGCUCUUUCUGAUUAUCUAGCAUUUUGAUUCAUUUGCUGACCUUCAGAUAUUUAUUGUUGUCCUGGUUGUUUAAAGGGCACUUUAUUUAGGUAUCUUAAUUGGCCUCUUCCAGGUGUUUUCAGCUUAAACAUUCAGGUCUAUUUUUUGUCACUCCUCCUGGUGGCCCACCAGGGUAAGAUAGAUUUGGGGCAACUAAG
rnacentral:lncRNA from 1 species